GACGAACCGUGCGAACGUUGUUCGGAAUCACUGGGCUUAAAGGGCGCGUAGGCGGGUCUUCAAGUUUGGGGUGAAAUCCUCCGGCUCAACCGGAGAACUGCCUCGAAUACUGAAGGUCUCGAGGGGGAUAGGGGCAUGCGGAACUACGGGUGGAGCGGUGAAAUGCGUUGAUAUCCGUAGGAACUCCGGUGGCGAAGGCGGCGUGCUGGAUCCCUUCUGACGCUGAGGCGCGAAAGCCAGGGGAGCAAACGGG
rnacentral:rRNA from 3 species